rnacentral:tRNA from 1 species
CAUUAGAUGACUGAAAUGCAAGUAUUGGUCUCUUAAACCAUAGAAUAGUAGAAUGCACCUACUUCUAAUGG